UGAAGUUUUCGGAUGGAUUUAAAACAGCUUAGUGGCGGACGGGUGAGUAACGCGUGGGUAACCUGCCUCACACUGGGGGAUAACAGUUGGAAACGACUGCUAAUACCGCAUAAUGUAUUCUGACCGCAUGAUCGGAAUACCAAAGAUUUAUUGCUGAAAGAUGGCCUCGCGUCUGAUUAGAUAGUUGGUGAGGUAACGGCCCACCAAGUCAACGAUCAGUAGCCGGACUGAGAGGUUGAACGGCCACAUUGGGACUGAGAUACGGCCCAGACUCC
rnacentral:rRNA from 1 species